CAUCUUAUCUAAGCUAACCCCGUCGCGGGACAGAUAUAGAAGCGAUGGCUCGGCAAUUUAUCUGAGCCACCCUGAGCCGUAUGAAGUAAAGCCCCACACAGACGGAGUCGACACAGCUGGCAAUAUAAAUGCCUUGCCUUACCCACCUCCGCCCAUCCGCCCAACGCUCGCAUUCACUCUCCCCUCUCCCCAAUCUCUCCACUGCUCAGUCAUACCCAGCUUCAUCCUCAUCUCGGCCGCCAUGUCCGCAUCGUCUUCAUCCUCUCUCCCUGUCCCGGCGGAUUGGCUGCUCCCUCUGAUGGCAUGUCCACUCUGCGGCGACGAGCCGUCGCAAGGAGCGGGAACCAGGCGGGGCAACGCUUCUACAAGUGCAUCCGCUACUAUGCACGGCAGUUUGGUUUCUUUGAGUUCCAGCGUGCGUACUGAAGGAGGAUGACUCAUGAGCAGAUCGUCGCUGCACAGCACCAAGCCGGAUGGCACCCAGCCAGGCUUGGAUUUGCAGUCCAUCAGGGCAAUGCGGCUGCUCAAAUGGUUCAUGCUGCCAUCCAGCCCCAGAUCCAGCCGCAUGCGCAGCCGCAGAUCCAGGCCCCGGUGCAGCAGCUCCCGCCGGCGGUCAACAAUCUGAUAGCCAAUGCCAUCAGGACAUACAGCAAACAAGUCAAAAAUAGCCCAGCACUUGCCUUCUACAAGCAAUCAGUACAUAUGUUUAUUUUCCUUUA